rnacentral:ncRNA from 1 species
AUAAAGUUUAAUUUUAGCUUAAAUAUUUAUUUAAUUUUUUUUUUACAUGUAAAUUUUUGUAUGAAUUUUAAUUAGAUUUUAAUAAUUUAUUUAUGAUAAUUUAUUCGCAGUAUUUAAUUUUAAUAAUUUAAGAAAUUAAGAAUUAGAAAUAAAUUUUAAUAUUAACAAAUUUUGUGCCAGCAGUUGCGGUUAUACAAAAAAUAUAAAUAAAUUUUAUUAGUAAAUAAUUAUAUGAAUUAUGUUUAAAUUAAGAUUUUAUUUAUUAGGUGAAAUUUUAAAUAAUAAAUUAGUUUAUAAAAAAGUUUUUAUUAUUAUGAAAUUUAUAUUUAAACUAGGAUUAGAUACCCUAUUAUUUUAAAUGUAAAAUUUUAUUACUAAAGUAGUAUUAGUUAUGUUCUUGAAAUUUAAAGAUUUUGGCGGUAUUUUAGUCUAUUUAGAGGAACCUGUUCUGUAAUUGAUAAUCCACGAUUAAUUUUACUUAUUUUAUAAAUUUGUAUACCGUCGUUAUUAGAAAAUUUUAAUAGAAAAUAAAUUUUUAAUAUUUUAUAUUAAAAAAUAUAUCAGAUCAAGGUGCAGUAGAUAUUUAAGAAGAAAUGGGUUACAUUAAAAAUAUUUAUAUGGAUUAAAGUAAGAAUAAACUUUAUAAAGGUGGAUUUAAUAGUAAUAAGAUUAAUUUAAAUUUUAUGAUUUUAGCUCUAAAAUAUGUACAUAUCGCCCGUCGCUCUUAUUAUAAGAUAAGAUAAGUCGUAACAUAGUAGAUGUACUGGAAAGUGUAUCUAGAAUGAC